AAAAAUAAAAAUAUUUUUGGAAAGGAUAAGUGUUCCACGUAGCUUUGAGAUCAGAAUUUAUCAAUUUGCAAAUAAAAAAUUAUUUUUGUAAUAGUAAAAUGAAUAAAAAAAUGAAUAGUUAAAAUGAAUAGUAAAAAUGAAUAGUAAAUUUUUUUGCUAUAAAUAGCCAAGGGGGGGAGGCUGAAAAUUUACACCAAAGAACUUAGAAAAUUUUUGAGAGAAGAGAGUUGGAAGAAUUUCAAUUUUUGCAAAGGGGAUAUUCUGGAAGUUUUCAGAGGACGAGGGGAUUAAGUCUGUAAUAGAGAUAAUGUUGCAGAUGUGGUUGAAAAAGCUUAGAGAUGAGAGAGAUGCGGG
rnacentral:sRNA from 1 species